rnacentral:misc_RNA from 1 species
AGGAUGGCAGGAAAAAAUGUCGCAAGGGCUUUUAUCGAUGACACAACGGCGUCUUUGUUGGAUAAUUUAUAUCGUUUGGCUAAGCAAUACUCAAAUAAUAAAAAAGAAGCCGAAAAGUUAGUAA